rnacentral:rRNA from 1 species
GACGAACGCUGGCGGCGUGCUUAACACAUGCAAGUCGAACGGAAAGGCCCUGCUUUUGUGGGGUGCUCGAGUGGCGAACGGGUGAGUAGCACGUGAGUAACCUGCCCUUGACUUUGGGAUAACUUCAGGAAACUGGGGCUAAUACCGGAUAGGAGCUCCUGCUGCAUGGUGGGGGUUGGAAAGUUUCGGCGGUUGGGGAUGGACUCGCGGCUUAUCAGCUUGUUGGUGGGGUAGUGGCUUACCAAGGCUUUGACGGGUAGCCGGCCUGAGAGGGUGACCGGCCACAUUGGGACUGAGAUACGGCCCAGACUCCUACGGGAGGCAGCAGUGGGGAAUAUUGCACAAUGGGCGGAAGCCUGAUGCAGCAACGCCGUGUGCGGGAUGACGGCCUUCGGGUUGUAAACCGCUUUCGCCUGUGACGAAGCGUGAGUGACGGUAAUGGGUAAAGAAGCACCGGCUAACUACGUG